rnacentral:rRNA from 1 species
AUCGAACGCUGGCGGCAGGCUUAACACAUGCAAGUCGAGCGAAGAUUAGGUGCUCGCACCUUAUCUUAGCGGCGGAAGGGUGGGUAAUGCUUAGGAAUCUGCCCAUUAGUGGGGGACAACAUUCCGAAAGUAAUGCUAAUACCGCAUACGUCAUACGGGAGUAAGCAGGGGAUCUGCGGACCUCUCGCUAAUAGAUGAGCCUAGGUCGGAUUAGCUAGUUGGUGGGGUAAAGGCCUACCAAGGCGACGAUCUGUAGCGGGUCUGAGAGGAUGAUCCGCCACACUGGGACUGAGACACGGCCCAGACUCCUACGGGAGGCAGCAGUGGGGAAUAUUGGACAAUGGGCGAAAGUCUGAUCCAGCCACGCCGCGUGAGUGAAGAAGGCCUUCGGGUUGUAAAGCUCUGUCGUCCGGAAAGAAAUCGCCGGGGAUAACACCUCCGGUGGAUGACGGUACCGGAAGAAGAAGCACCGGCUAACUACGUGCCAGCAGCCGCAGUAAAAC